rnacentral:rRNA from 1 species
CCGGCACGGGUGAGUAACACGUAUCCAACCUGCCGUCUACUCUUGGACAGCCUUCUGAAAGGAAAGAUUAAAUACAAGAUGGCAUCAUGAGUCCGCAUGUUCACAUGAUUAAAGGUAUUCCGGUAGACGAUGGGGAUGCGUUCCAUUAGAUAGUAGGCGGGGUAACGGCCCACCUAGUCUUCGAUGGAUAGGGGUUCUGAGAGGAAGGUCCCCCACAUUGGAACUGAGACACGGUCCAA